rnacentral:rRNA from 1 species
AUUGAACGCUGGCGGCAGGCCUAACACAUGCAAGUCGAGCGGAUGAAGGGAGCUUGCUCCUGGAUUCAGCGGCGGACGGGUGAGUAAUGCCUAAGAAUCUGCCUGGUAGUGGGGGAUAACGUCCGGAAACGGGCGCUAAUACCGCAUACGUCCUGAGGGAGAAAGUGGGGGAUCUUCGGACCUCACGCUAUCAGAUGAUCCUAGGUCGGAUUAGCUAGUUGGUGGGGUAAAGGCCUACCAAGGCGACGAUCCGUAACUGGUCUGAGAGGAUGAUCAGUCACACUGGAACUGAGACACGGUCCAGACUCCUACGGGAGGCAGCAGUGGGGAAUAUUGGACAAUGGGCGAAAGCCUGAUCCAGCCAUGCCGCGUGUGUGAAGAAGGUCUUCGGAUUGUAAAGCACUUUUAGCUGGGAGGAAGGGCAGUAAGUUAAUACCUUGCUGUUUUGACGUUACCUGCAGAAUAAGCACCGGCUAACUACGUG